UACGUAGGGGGCGAGCGUUGUCCGGAUUUAUUGGGCGUAAAGAGCUCGUAGGCGGUUUGGUAAGUUGGAUGUGAAAUCUCCAGGCUCAACUUGGAGGGGUCAUUCGAUACUGCCAUGACUAGAGUUCGGUAGGGGAGUGUGGAAUUCCUGGUGGAGCGGUGAAAUGCGUAGAUAUCUGGAGGAACACCGGUGGCGAAGGCGGCAUCCUGGACCGACACUGACGCUGAGGAGCGAAAGCCAGGGGAGCAAACGGG
rnacentral:rRNA from 1 species